rnacentral:rRNA from 1 species
AGCUCCAAUAGGAUAUAUCAAAGUUGUUGCAGUUGAAAAGCUCGUAGUCGUAUUUCUGGUGGGUUGAUGCUUUUGUGUGGGCGAACGAAAGUUUGUCUGCUCUUGGGCCGCCUGCCAUUUUGUGGAACUACGUGGCGGGGUUGUGAUUCAUUUUAUGACCUCGUCGCGCCACUCCGUCACUGAGAGCAAAUUGGAGUGCUCAAAGCAGGCUUUACAGCUUUGAACAUCUUAGCUUGGAAUGACAAAGUAUGACUUUUUGUUCACUUUGUUGGUUAUGAACGAGAAGUAAUGAUAAAUAGGAACAGUUGCGGGGGUACUCGUACUGGAAAGUCAGAGGUGAAAUUCUUGGAUUUUUCCAUGACGAACGACUGCGAAAGCAUUUACCAAGGAUGUUUUCAUUG